AAGUGGAGCAAUCCAUGAGUAGAGUGGCAAACGGGUGAGUAACGCGUGGGUGACCUGCCUUCGAGUGGGGGAUAACGCUCCGAAAGGGACGCUAAUACCGCAUAACAUCCUGCCUUUUAAGAGGUGGAGAUCAAAGCCUGGGACCGCAAGGCCAGGCGCUGGAAGAGGGGCCCGCGCCUGAUUAGCUAGUUGGUGGGGUAACGGCUCACCAAGGCAACGAUCAGUAGCCGGCCUGAGAGGGCGGACGGCCACACUGGGACUGAGACACGGCCCAGACUCCUACGGGAGGCAGCAGUGGGGAAUUGUUCGCAAUGGGCGCAAGCCUGACGACGCAACGCCGCGUGGAGGACGAAGACCUUCGGG
rnacentral:rRNA from 1 species